ACUGUUGAAGGCACUGGAGAUACUACUGUGAAUAAGACAUCACCACCCCUGCCCUCAUGGAGCUCAUGAUUAGUGGGUGAGUCAUAUAUUUAACUGGGGGUAGGGGGGAACAGAAAACUGACCCCUAAAAAAUUGAAAACCUUAUACACUAAGAAUGUAAGUUUCCUAUAAACCUUUGAAAAGGAGUAUGAAAGAAGCAUUUUGAGAUACAAAUAUUGAGAAUCUGUGCUUGCUGACUGCUGCUUCUGAUCACAGAGGUGCAAAGAGAUGGGUGAUCACUGUUGCUACAACUCCCCACACUGUUGCGAGGCUCUC
rnacentral:lncRNA from 1 species